rnacentral:snoRNA from 1 species
GCCCUGUGGUUACUGGACACUGAUUUGUGCAAUCCAGUGCUUCAGUUCGUAGAAAUGGGCCAAAAGUGAUACUGUGAUUUAUGCAUGGAGUCUGCAAUACGUGAGCAGCUUCCAUAGCCCGGUCACAGUUACAGAC